AUGCCACCUUCCGUGCACGACACGGAAGGCCUGCCGUUCAUGAAGCAUGGUUGUGUCUUCCAUGCGCACCGCCGGAUGAAUGACAUGCUGGGAUACGCUAUCCCUGAUUUAUGCCGCUUCAGAUUGGAUGAGUCUCCAUCGUGUGGAACCGGACUAGAAAGCUGCGACAAUGAUUCCUAUUGCCCACCGCUAUGGAUCGUGCCAUCCAUGAAGAACACCUGGGACUGGAACCUGGAGGAGGACAUCACACGCAAAUGUGUUGGCCUUCAUGAUUCCAGGACCUGGAAUCAUACCGGCCGAUGGGUGGUGUACCAUAUAACUGGAAUUAACCCAUGCAAGUCGAAGAAGGAUAGGCCGGUGCUGCCGGCUGGCGUCAAGUUCGAUCCCACGGAUCAGGAGAUGAUCGAGCACCUUGAGGCCAAAGUGAGUGCUGACAGCGUGAGAUCUCACCCUCUCAUCGAUUUGUUCAUACCAACCAUCGACAGCAAGCACGACAUAUGCUACACACAUCCUGAGAAACUUCAUGGUAUCACACUGAGUGGCCUAAGCAAGCAUUUCUUCCAGCGCAAUUCCAGGGCAUUCAAAAGGGGCACGUGGACGCGUCGCAAGAUACAGUCCGAGUGCGGCAUGCACGCGAUGUGGCACAACACCGGCAAUACCUUGCCGGUGAUGGUCAACGGCCGGAUGACGGGCAGCAAAAAGGUUCUGGUUCUGCACACCAACAAGAACUUCGACCAGCAGAGGACCAGUUGGGUGAUGCACCAGUACCACCUCGGGGACCUGGAGCAAGAGAAGGAGCGGGAGCAGGUCCUCUACAAGAUUUUCUACCAGACGAACACUAGGGCCAAGAGUAAGAAGAUUAUAAGUUAG
rnacentral:rRNA from 1 species